GUGGAUUAGAUACCCUGGUAGUCCACGCCGUAAACGAUGGACGCUAGGUGUGGGGAACAUUCCACGUUCUCUGCGCCGCAGCUAACGCAUUAAGCGUCCCGCCUGGGGAGUACGACCGCAAGGUUAAAACUCAAAGGAAUUGACGGGGGCCCGCACAAGCAGCGGAGCAUGCGGCUUAAUUCGAUGCAACGCGAAGAACCUUACCUAGGCUUGACAUGCAUUGAAAACUGUUAGAGAUAACAGGUCCGCAAGGGCUUUGCACGGGUGGUGCAUGGUCGUCGCCAGCU
rnacentral:rRNA from 1 species